rnacentral:rRNA from 1 species
CCUACGGGUGGCAGCAGUGAGGAAUAUUGGUCAAUGGGCGGGAUCCUGAACCAGCCAAGCCGCGUGAGGGAUGACGGCCCUAUGGGUUGUAAACCUCUUUUAUCCGGGAACAACACGCCGUACGUGUAGCGCUCUGCGUGUAUCCGAAGAAAAAGGAUCGGCUAAUUCCGUGCCAGCAGCCGCGGUAAUACGGAAGGUCCGGGCGUUAUCCGGAUUUAUUGGGUUUAAAGGGUGCGUAGGCCGGCCGUUUAGUCUGCGGUGAAAUGUGCGGGCUCAACCCCGGCCUGGCGGGGGAAACUGGCGUGCUUGAGUGCGCGAGAAGUAGGCGGAAUGCGUCGUGUAGCGGUGAAAUGCUUAGAUAUGGCGAAGAACCCCGAUUGCGAAGGCAGCUUGCCGGAGCGGGACUGACGCUGAUGCACGAAAGCGCGGGUAUCGAACAGGAUUAGAUACCCGAGUAGUC